AGAGUUUGAUCAUGGCUCAGAUUGAACGCUGGCGGCAUGCCUAACACAUGCAAGUCGAACGGUAACGCGGGGGCAACCCUGGCGACGAGUGGCGGACGGGUGAGUAAUACGUAGGAAUCUACCCAUUUGUGGGGGAUAACCCGGCGAAAGCCGGGCUAAUACCGCAUACGCUCUACGGAGGAAAGCGGGGGAUCGCAAGACCUCGCGCUAAUGGAUGAGCCUACGUCGGAUUAGCUAGUUGGUAGGGUAACGGCCUACCAAGGCGACGAUCCGUAGCUGGUCUGAGAGGACGAUCAGCCACACUGGGACUGAGACACGGCCCAGACUCCUACGGGAGGCAGCAGUGGGGAAUAUUGGACAAUGGGGGCAACCCUGAUCCAGCAAUGCCGCGUGUGUGAAGAAGGCCUGCGGGUUGUAAAGCACUUUCAGAGGGGAAGAAAAAAUCGGAUCUAACACAUCCGAGCUUGACGUACCCUAGAAGAAG
rnacentral:rRNA from 1 species